rnacentral:sRNA from 1 species
GUUGGGUAUGGAGACACAUGCCUGUAAUCCCAGCAACUCGGGAGUCUGAGACAGGAGGAUUGCCAGUUUGAGGACAUGCUGGGCAACUUAGUAAGACCCUGUCUCAA